rnacentral:rRNA from 1 species
GCAAGUCUGGUGCCAGCAGCCGCGGUAAUUCCAGCCCCAAUAGCGUAUAUUAAAGUUGUUGCAGUUAAAAAGCUCGUAGUUGAAUUUCGGGAUCAAUAUUUCGGUCAUGCCGUUGGUAUGCACCGUUAUCAUUGAUUUCUCACCUUCUAAAGAACCAUAAUGCCAUUAAUUUGGUGUUACGGGGAAUUAGGACUGUUACCUUGAAAAAAUUAGAGUGUUUAAAGCAGGCUCACGCUUGAAUACAUUAGCAUGGAAUAAUGAAAUAGGACAUCCGAUUCUAUUUUGUUGGUUUCUAGGAUCGAUGUAAUGAUUAAUAGGGAUAGUUGGGGGCAUUAGUAUUCAAUUGUCAGAGGUGAAAUUCUUGGAUUUAUUGAAGACUAACUACUGCGAAAGCAUUUGCCAAGGAUGUUUUCAUUAAUCAAGAACGAAAGUUAGGGGAUCGAAGACGAUCAGAUACCGUCGUAGUCUUAACCAUAAACUAUGCCGACUAGGGAUCGGAUGAUGUUAAUUUUUUAAUGACUCAUUCGGCGCCUUACGGGAAAC